CCUACGGGAUGCAGCAGUGAGGAAUAUUGGUCAAUGGGCGUAAGCCUGAACCAGCCAAGUCGCGUGAGGGAUGAAGGUUCUAUGGAUCGUAAACCUCUUUUAUAAGGGAAUAAAGUGCGGGACGUGUCCCGUUUUGUAUGUACCUUAUGAAUAAGGAUCGGCUAACCCCGUGCCAGCAGCCGGGGUAAUACGGAGGAGCCGAGCGUUACCCGGAUUUGUUGGGUUUAAAGGGUGCGUAGGGGGCCUUUUAAGUCCGCGGGGAAAGUCUGUGGCUCAACCACAGAAUUGCCGUUGAAACUGGGAGGCUAGAGUAUGUGUGAGGCAGGCGGAAUGCGUGGUGUAGCGGUGAAAUGCAUAGAUAUCACGCAGAACCCCGAUUGCGAAGGCAGCAUGCCAGGCCAUGACUGACGCUGAUGCACGAAAGCGUGGGGAUCAAACAGGAUUAGAUACCCUUGUAGUC
rnacentral:rRNA from 1 species